AUCCUUUUGUAGUUCAUGAGUGUGAUGAUUGGGUUUUCACCUCCAUGGGUGAGAUGUGCCUCCCUCAAAUCUUGUUACAACAUUAGCACAUUACUCAUGUGACA
rnacentral:snoRNA from 1 species